CAGUCGAACGGGGUACCCUUGAUAGAGGCUUCGGCCAAUUGAUAGGACUACCUAGUGGCGGACGGGUGAGUAACGCGUGAGGAACCUGCCUUGGAGUGGGGAAUAACAGUUAGAAAUAGCUGCUAAUACCGCAUGAUGCAGUUGGGUCGCAUGACUCUGACUGCCAAAGAUUUAUCGCUCUGAGAUGGCCUCGCGUCUGAUUAGAUAGUUGGCGGGGUAACGGCCCACCAAGUCGACGAUCAGUAGCCAGACUGAGAGGUUGGCCGGCCACAUUGGGACUGAGACACGGCCCAGACUCCUACGGGAGGCAGCAGUGGGGAAUAUUGGGCAAUGGGCGCAAGCCUGACCCAGCAACGCCGCGUGAAGGAAGAAGGCCCUCGGGUUGUAAACUUCUUUUGUCAGGGACGAAGAAAGUGACGGUACCUGACGAAUAAGCCACGGCUAACUACGUGCCAGCAGCCGCGGUAAUACGUAGGUGGCAAGCGUUAUCCGGAUUUACUGGGUGUAAAGGGCGUGUAGGCGGGACUGCAAGUCAGAUGUGAAAUUCCAGGGCUCAACCCUGGACCUGCAUUUGAAACUGUAGUUCUUGAGUGAUGGAGAGGCAGGCGGAAUUCCGUGUGUAGCGGUGAAAUGCGUAGAUAUACGGAGGAACACCAGUGGCGAAGGCGGCCUGCUGGACAUUAACUGACGCUGAGGCGCGAAAGCGUGNGGAGCAAACAGGAUUAGAUACCCUGNUAGUCCACGCUGUAAACGAU
rnacentral:rRNA from 1 species